rnacentral:rRNA from 1 species
CAAUAGCGUAUAUUAAAGUUGUUGCAGUUAAAAAGCUCGUAGUUGGAUUUCGGGGCAGCCUGGCUGGUCCGCCGCAAGGCGAGUACUGGUCAGCCGCCCUUCCUCUCGAAAGCCCCGACUGCUCUUCGUUGCAGUGGUCGGGUAGUUCGGGACGUUUACUUUGAAAAAAUUAGAGUGUUCAAGGCAGGCCUACGCCUGAAUACAUUAGCAUGGAAUAAUGGAAGAGGACCUCGGUCCUAUUUUGUUGGUUUCCAGGGCCGAAGUAAUGAUUAAGAGGGACAGUUGGGGGCAUUCGUAUUUAAUUGUCAGAGGUGAAAUUCUCGGAUUUAUGAAAGACGAACAACUGCGGAAGCAUUUGCCAAGGAUGUUUUCAUUAA